rnacentral:rRNA from 1 species
GACAUAGGUGGCAAACGUUAUCCGGAAUUAUUGGGCGUAAAGAGCGUGUAGGCGGCCCGGUAAGUCCGCUGUAAAAGUCAAAGGCUCAACCUUUGAAUGUCAGUGGAUACUGCCGGGCUAGAGUCCGGAAGAGGCGAGUGGAACUCCUGGUGUAGCGGUGGAAUGCGCAGAUAUCAGGAAGAACACCAACGGCGAAGGCAGCUCGCUGGGACGGUACUGACGCUGAGACGCGAAAGCGUGGGGAGCGAACAGG